rnacentral:lncRNA from 1 species
AGCUUCCGCCUGCUACGGUCCUGGCAAGCACCUCGGGAUCCCAUUCCUUCACAGGGACCCUAGCCAGUUAAAGCUGAUACAUUCCUGUGGGUCAACUAUGCAACUAACUCAGAUUUUGAGCAAACAAAGCUCUCAAGUUGGUGAUCCUCAGGAGUCUCUGCAUUAGUUGGACAGCUCUUCUGGAAUUAUCUUCUAAGUCAACUGUGGGUUGGGUAGGUGGCUCUGCUGAUUUUUCGCUGGACUUCCACAUUUGGGACGAGUUGGCUGUCAUCAGCUCUAGAAAGGGUGUGGCCGUUUUACAUUGGCUGUUUUCCUCACAUUCCUCAAGCAGGUACUGUAAUAAAGAACUGGAGAAAUACAGUCAGAUGGGAAGUAGCCCUUGCUGUCAAGGAGCUUGCCAUCUAAUGGGGGAGACAGGCAAGUAAACCAAAGACUACACAGUGCAGUAUGAAUUUCCUUUCAUCUCUGGUAAAAGUCAGCUCUCUAACUACUGCAUCUCACAGCUGAACAGAUAACUGAUACCGUGCUUCCAGAAGAUUUUUCUAACAGUGUUUGCAAGCUAUAAAAUAGUGCUUUCACUUAGAAAAGGCUAGACGUGGUGGUUCAUGCCUGUAAUCCCAGCACUUUGAGAGGCCGAGGCACCAUGCUGGGAGAUAAGGAUC